rnacentral:rRNA from 1 species
UACAGAGGUCCCAAGCGUUGUUCGGAUUCACUGGGCGUAAAGGGUGCGUAGGCGGUUGGAUAAGUCUGAUGUGAAAUCUUCGAGCUCAACUCGGAAACUGCAUCGGAAACUAUCUAGCUUGAGGAUUGGAGGGGAGACUGGAAUUCUCGGUGUAGCAGUGAAAUGCGUAGAUAUCGAGAGGAACACCAGUGGCGAAGGCGAGUCUCUGGACAAUUCCUGACGCUGAGGCACGAAAGCUAGGGGAGCAAACAGG